ensembl:snRNA Gm23737 U1 spliceosomal RNA
GUACCUACCUGGCAGGGGCGAUACCAUGAUCACAAAGAUGGUUUUCCCAGGGUGAGGCUUAUCCAUUGCACUCCAGAUGUGCUGACCCCUGCGAUUUCCCCAAAUGUGGGAAACUGCAUAAUUUGUGGUAGUGGAGGACUGCAUUCACACUCUCCCCUU